UUUUUCGCGCUGCUAUCUUAUAGUCAUAUACUAUAGCGUUUGUUUGUAUGCAAUUAAAUAUUCUUUAAUAUCGUUUUUUUGUUAUUAUUACACUAUUGGAAAAUAAAAAAAAAUAUUUUAAAUUUUUUUAAUUGAAUUAUUAAUAAACUAAAACUGGUUUACAUGUAAAAAAAUAAACCAAAAGUAAACCAAACUCAAACCUAAACCUAUUUGCUAACUAAACCUAAUAACAAAACCACGUCGUCUUCAAGCUUCUUAACUCCGCCGCCGUCAACCACCAUUUGCUGUUACGACCAAGUCCUCGUGUCUCUC
rnacentral:lncRNA from 1 species